ACGACGUUCUGCAAACUAGUGUAGUUCGCAUACUAUCCGUACUCAGAUGAGAAGCGCGUCCCAACCCUGUGUGAGAUACCCGGAUGGCCUGCUCUAUUCUGUUUUAUGAAAGUAGAGAGUCAGCAAGGACAAAGGAUUAAUUUUAAAAUAUGGUUUAAAUGUUACACAUGCAGGGCCCUAUGUGUGGAAUUUGGGAUGAGGCCCCGGGCCCUGUGACAAAUGGGCCACAAACCAUCUUUUUUGCUACAAAGUGACAUGCUAUGAAGAGGUGGAAGGACAUAUUUGAGGAUGGAGGAUAUGGAGGUGGAAGUCGCUCCAGUAUCCAGUGAGGCCAGUGUGAUUGUAGUCUCUGACUCCGAGAGCAGCACAGAAGAAGAGGGUGUUCCCAUGCAGGUUCAAAGCCCGUCUGAUCGACUCAGACUCUCAGGUCUUCGGGUGGUCAGGAGGAGACAUGUAACUGGUUCACGGACGCAGUUCUCCCCGCGUGAAGAGCGAAUCCGCAGACUCCGGGAGCUCAUCGUGGAGAAUCUGGCAGAGCGGCUGAGCGGCUCCCAGGACGCACCGCAUCCACAAGCGCUGGAUCCUGAACCGAGUUCCAGACACACCGCUGCUGUUGUGAAUGUGCCCACGUCUGAUCAAUCCAGCGCUACAGGUCCACUGCCGUUUCAUUUCUCAGUUCAUCACGCGUUCAUUUUCCCAGCUAACUUUUAAAUGAUUUAAUUAAGUUCUACAUGACAGUUUACUAUUAGAAUUGCUGAUAUCAUUUUUGAUAAUAGAAGUAAUUGACAUAAUCUUAAAUUUAUAACAUAAGAGAUGCCCAAUAUAUCAUUAACAUAUCAAUUAUAGUAAUAUAAAUUUUUAAUUUGUCAUUAUAAUAGAUAUUGGAUAUAACUCAGUUGUUCCCCUAUUUUUACAUUUCAACUAACUCAAAAUUACAGCUAUUUUUAAAUGCACCAAUACUUUUUAUAACACUUUCAAAUUGAAUAGAUUUUCAUGCAUUAUUAUGAUGUCUAAAAUUGUACAUUUUAGGUUUUAUUAUUUUAAUGUGUCUGAAUAAAUUCUAAUAUCAUCUAAUAUUAAAAUAAAUU
ensembl:lncRNA